ACGGCUUUAUUUGGCAGUGCUAAAAAAAUACCAGGACAAAUGGCUAAACAGUGUUGGGACAGCAGGAUGAAUAAUCAAUGAGCAGAGAGCAAGAUAGAGGCUCCCUCAGAUUCUGGAUCGACAAUCGACAACUGAGAGAUUAUUUUUUGCAAUGGUUGACUAAAUAUGGUCAGGGAAGAGAGAGGCACAAGAGAGCCUGUUUGCCUGGGAGUGCAUGUUUCAAAUGCUUAGCUGCCUAUAAAGCUGUAACAGUUUUGCUCAUGCCCUCUGAGUGGGAAAUACAGUUAGUUUCUUCUGUAGUGUGCAUGUGGGAGCCCUGACCUCACUCACAGACUUGACCUCUGGAGAUGGAAUGUAGCUUCAACACAGAUCUGCCUACAGUUAAGCCUGGAAACUUAACCUCAAUCAAGAACAAAUGCGGUGCAAUAUCUAAGGAGCUGGAAGAAAUUUUUUUUUUUUUUUUUUUUUUUUUGGGUCACUCCAACUUUUUCUCUGAUUACUUUCAUCUGCCAAUGGGCUGAGUUCACCAUCCCAGGGCUUCCUAGCAUCUUUCCUUGGACACUUAAUUCUUAGCCCAGCAGCCACAAGGUAUUAAUUUCUACGCAACAUCAUCCAUAUUUUAUCAAUCCAAGAAAGGUAGCAGCACCAAGUAAGCUUCACUGUUCACACUAUUUUGCUUUGAAGUUUUAUCUAUUUAAGGUGGUAAGGUACUGUAUUCACUGACACUUCCCCCCUACUCCCCCUCGCAUAUAAUGAAGAGCUGAAUCAGACGAACACUCAAGAUGAGAUGGCUGCUGCUGAUGUAUCUCUCUAGGUCAUUACCUAUCUUCCAACUGCAAAUGCUGCAUGAUACUAAGCUUACAGGAUACUAAAUGCAAUCUGUAUACCAGCAUGGAAAUCUGGCAGAAGACUCAAAGAAAACUGAAGUUCUUAUGGUGGACUACAAUUAUCUAUUCCAGGAAAGUACUUUGCAAAGCCACCCACCAAUGACAUCUCUACCUUCAAAAUUGGCCAGCCAGAAUGAACACCAAGAGACAACAAAAAUCUGGAUAAGUGCUUCAAAUGUCCAUGUCAUCACGGAACAUGGAACUGUAAAACACUUUAAGUCACUUUGAAGGUAAAUUGCAUUGUAAAGUUCAGUCUUAGAGAAAAAGGUUAGCUUAUAACAAGUUUAUUUUAAGACUGUUCUUUCAAAGAAAUGACAACAUGCAUUCUGCAUCUUCUAACAAGGAAAGGAACGAAAAAGCAAAAUACUUUCAGAUUCUUUUUGACAGAUAGCUGAGCAACUAUAUGUAUUCCUGCCCAGAGUACAUACUUCUUUAUGUACCCAUAUGAACAUAUAAUGCUAUGGAAUGUAAAGAAGUAUGUAUUUUUGGCAGGCACUGAACAACCAGUAAGAGGAAAUUAAACUGCAGCUGGAAGAAACAGGUCUCCUAUUGUUUGAAUGACUUUCAUGUGGCAAAUUAACAAAUUAACUUGGUAAGGGUCAGAUGACGCUACUGCCAAAGUAAAAUCACGUAUUGCUUAUGAAUCUUGAAACAUUAUCCCAAGUCACUUAUUUAGAGGGUGGGUAGAGAAAGUUCUGUUAUUGGUUGUAGAUAAAUUAUGAACAAAACUUCAGGGUUUUUGUUUAUAAAUUCAAAAUGAGUUUGGAAAUGCAAAUAGUCACACUAGAAAACUCUGGAUGAAAUAUAUAGCCUAUUUGCAAAAAUGAUUAUCAAUCCUAUUCAGAAAAAUCUUUUUCACCCUAACUUUAUUCAACUAAAGUAGACUUUUUUAAAGAUUAUCUAAAGAAAUGAGGAAUGUGAUUAAAAAAAAAAUCUUAAGUCUGCAGACCAUGCUCUGAUUCCAAAAUUAAGUUUGCCUAAUAAUCCAUAGACACCGAGUCUAGUAAUAAUUAACACUGUUGUAAGAAACUGCUUGGCAGUUAGUUUUUGAUUUAGCAAACAGAAGAGAAAAAUGUUUUCAAAAUAAUUUUAAAUUACCAUAUACAAAUUCUAAUAUUUUAGAGACAUAAAUUUGGUGUUUCUCCAAAUCAACCGUUAUUAAAUGCACUGAGAGCUUGGAUGGAAUAAACUGCAGUGUCAGGUUCAUGCAUGUAAAGUGACAAUGCAGAGAUUUCUAGGCCACAGCUGCCAGUCAGCGGAUUAAAGCUAAUGACAGAUUCCAAAACAAAAACACGGGAAUGACAGAACACAGGAUUCCUACAUUUUUCUGAAAAACGCAGUCUAAUUUUAACAAAACUGGCUAAGCAAUUCUGAAUUACAUAUGAAAUUAUCAAAUUUAUACUGCUGCUCCUUAAACUCUUCACCUAAAAUUUCAGUUUUAAAUUAUGAAACCCCUAGUUUGGUAAGCUGUAAUUGUAAAAACUAUAUGGAAAAUAAGAAAAAGGUGAAGCUGUCAACAGAAGCAUACCAUUUAUUUCUAAAAAUUAAUGUUAACUAAAACACAUCAACAAAAUCAGUCAACACAAAGAAAUUUUUACGUAACGAAUGACUUGUGCUGCACUUACUCAUCUAUGUAUAGAUAUUACAGGAGGUUCCAAACAGUAAUGCUUGCAUAUUAUACAUGCUUGUCAUAACAGGCACAAUUGGCCCAGAUUAAAGAAUAAAGAUUGAGUCCAUUCGUUUAUUUUAAUAUUUUUAAAAUUCUGGGAUCGUUUUUUGUGUCAGGAAAGGAAAAUCUCAAAUGUAAGAGACCCAAAGGAUAAUUAUGCCUUCAAAAAUAUUAGUUUAUUGGAUAUGUGUUCCAUUUUUCAAAGGAGGCGUAUUUUAAUCACUACAAAAUACCAAAAAUUAUUAGAUAUCACCAGCUAUUUUUUUUUAAAGUAUUUAGCCAGAACUAUAGAAUUACACUUAUAUAAAAAGGAAUCAAACUAAUGUAACUGUAUUCAUAAGGUAAUUUUUUAUAAAUUGGUCUGAGUUAUUUUCCACAUGAUCAAAUACCUUGGAAUGUAGUCUGUAUAGAACUCCAACCUCCAAAUUACAGGCUGUUUUAUAAUGGAAAAAAGCUAAACUAUUAGCAACUCUACUGGGUUUCAUAAUGCUGCUUAGCUUCUAGGCUCGUAACUGACAGAUCUGUAGACUGAGAACCCAAUUCACUAUUGGAGUAAGUGGUAAGUGGACAACUUCAUUUAUUUCUCUGAAGCUUUCCAUGUUAUGCCAGCAAUUGAUAUGUAGGUUUCAAUCUAAAUAUCUGACUAUCUUUACUAAGGAUCAAACUUAUUGUGACGGGUUCUUUAUAACAAGCCACUGAUGCUGAAUCCGCUCUUGCUAUGCCGUAAUAAGACAGCAAUUCUACUAUGAAACAAAUUGACAGUUCUCAGAGAGAUAUAAAAGUUAAAAUUAUAUAUUGACAUUGCUUCUUGCUAGCUCAUAUUAACCUAUCUCUAAGAAUAUACUCAGUCACUCUAAAAUGUCACAUCCAUCACUUAGAUCAGCUGUUCAAUUUUAACUGAGCACAUGCUGAACUCUGGGCAUCUGCUGACACUGUUGUAACUCAAAUAUUUCAACUGCGUGACUGACAGGGAUAACAGAUGCUGACAUUAUCAAAUGCUACACUGCUUUUCCAUGGCCAUUUUUUUGCCCCGAUAUGGCCAGUACAUGAAACUGUAUUGCCAUCCAAAAGCACACUUGAGCAGCUGGAUCUGUAAAACUGCUCCUGUAUAACUGGUAAAAAUAGAAGCCACUUUUAUAGCGGUCUUUAAUGCUUAAGUUCAAAUGACACACCUGCUAUGUUUCUAUUAGGAUAGAUGGUGUAAAGAAUAUAUUUACAUAAAUUUCAUCAUUAGACUUCACAACAAACAGAUGAAGACUACACUUGACAGGAGCAUUAUUAGUGCAUGGUUUGAACUAAUGUCUCCCCGGCAAAGCUUAAAAAAAAACCCAGGUCUUCAAAUGCAAUAUUUGUCUGUUUAGUGUAUCUAUUGCAAUUUACCAGCACAAAUUACCUUUAAGAAAAUGCAUGAAAUAUAGCACGUUUAACUCUACUUAUAAAAAGAUAUGUAGUGUGUUAAGGAACCUUUCAUCUAAAAGGGCUUUAGAUAAAGAAAAUUCCAGAUUGAUAACAUCAGGUGUUUGUACAGAAAGAGAAAGCAUGUGUAAACAGAAAAAAAUUCCCUUGUACUAUAAUGGCAUAUAUGGGAAUUCCUAAAGUGAAUGCUAAGCAGAAAUAUACCAAAAUGAAUUAAAAGCACUUGAUAUUUAUAAGAGAGAGGCUACAAUACUCCUCUUUCCACAACCUAAUCUGUUACUUGUGCUAAUCAACUAUUGUACUAAAGCAGCAGCAAGAUAUAAAGGGUGUGGGGGGGAAGUGUUGCUUUCUCUAGUGCACUUUAAUUUAAUGAGUAAAAGGAAUAAAUGUAAGUGGCCCUAAACAUAAAUCCAAACACUCUCCAGAAUUAAACAAUCAAAAGAAAAAAUGUUUAAUACUGCCACUGUACUUUGACAUGAGGCUAGUCUACAGUUGUGCCUACAAAGAUGCUAAAAGAGAGAACAGACUGGUAUAUUGUAUAAGGCAUUCUGGGGUAAAUGUUUCCUUCCUGCCCUCCCUCCAAAAAUGACUUAAGUUAAAUCUCCAAUUACUUUAAAAAUUAAAAGUGAAGUGUCAAUAAGUGUAACAUUUAUAGCUGAAAAAUGUGUGUACUUUUAAAAUUGUACGUGUACAAUAAAAAACUCAGCUGUUUUGUUAUAAAAAGUUACAGCUUUCCUGCACUCCAAUGCUUUGCUAAAGCUGGUAAAAUGGAACCAAAUCACCUCUUCAAUGGAUUUGGUCCCCUUCAACCAGCUGUAGCUAUGCAUUGAUCACUACAGGACAUCAAAUAUUUUCAAUAAUGGAUUUAACACUUGUAUAAUGGCAACUUUGAACAUGCUUCAACUAUUCUGGACAGAUUAAAUGCACACUGUCAACAGAAGGAAACAAAUGUGAAAGUAUGGUAUUCAGUUAUACUUGAGGAUGUCCCAAAGGCAGUAUUUCUAGAUAAACAAUUACUUGUAGAAUUAUUUGUGUUUCACUUUCUGUUCUUAUUUAGUAAAAAAUGGUACCAAUGGUAAUUUCUAUAAGAAAAAAAUUCCGCAUUCAAAUAAACUGAUUGUUCAGUCA